rnacentral:rRNA from 1 species
GAUCCUGGCUCAGGAUGAACGCUAGCGACAGGCCUAACACAUGCAAGUCGAGGGGCAGCGGGGAGGUAGCAAUACCUUUGCCGGCGACCGGCGCACGGGUGAGUAACACGUAUGCAAUCCACCUGUAACAGGGGGAUAACCCGGAGAAAUCCGGACUAAUACCCCAUGAUAUGGGCUCUCCGCAUGGAGGGUCCAUUAAAGAGAGCAAUCUUGGUUACAGACGAGCAUGCGCUCCAUUAG